rnacentral:rRNA from 1 species
UAUGAUCACCGAAGUUAAGCAUCAUUGGGCGCGGUCAGUACUUGGGUGGGUGACCACCUGGGAACACUGCGUGCCGUU